AAAAAAAACAUACCAAGUGGUUGUUUUUGUUUGUCUGCUUGAUAUUCACAGGACAAACCUCUGACUGAUCUUUGAUCUGUUCCAGAAUGCCAAGUCAUGCAGACUGCAGAAGACAUAAAGGAGCCAGUAGAGCGGACUGAUGUUAAACUUUGAUGCCAUCCAUUUGUGCACCAGAGACCAACACCAUCAGAAUGUUACUGAGGAACUUUCAAGUCAUGUUGUACAACUGGAUUGAACAAACUGACUUCUAAUCAAGAUUAAUGAACAACCACUUUCCCCAUCCUGACCCUGAUUCUCCCUAUACCCCCUCCCCCACCAAAUAUUCAACUUAUUCCAUCCCAUCUCAGUUUGAUGUGCACUUCUUAAAGAAACUGGACCCUUUAUAUACAAGUACCAUGGGCAGAAACCAUACUUAAUUGGAUUAGUGCUUUAAACCAUCACAAUGUAUGCCUGUAUCAGCACCAACAAUGUCUAAAGGAAAUCCUUAACUAUAUUUCUUAUUAUGGAAAUCAUCUUUUACAUUAAGACAUUGAUGGACUGGGCAGAAAUGGUGUUUGAGGACAUAUAUAUCACUGAGUUGACAAUGGACAAUGACUUUUUUCUCCCAAAAGACUCCUUUGCCAAUCCUCUGGUCUGUUCUGUUUCUGCCUUGUCCUCAGCACACUGCCACAGUACGGGACAUUGAUGCAAUAUUAGUCAUUUGGUGUCGAUGGAACGGAAAACAUACCACCCUCCAGAUUUCUUGUUUCCCUUUAUUCUUUUUCUCUUUUUUUUAAAGAAUGGAAGACUUUUUGUAUUCAAAAUAAGGGUGUUUUAAAUCUUAUAGUUUUGUACAAUGUAAUUUUUUAAAGUGUGUAAUUUUAGUAAAGACACUUGAUGCACAA